rnacentral:lncRNA from 1 species
UGAGGUUACAUGAUAUACUUUAUGCUCAUAACUGAUGUGGCUAGAGAACUGGUAUUGAAUUUAUAGCAUCAGCAGAACAGAAAAUGUGAUGUAUUUUAUGCAUGUCAAUAAAGGAAUGACCUGUUCUUGUUCUACAGAGAAUGGAAAUUGGAAGUCAAACACCCUUUGUAUUCCAAAAUAGGGUCUCAAACAUUUUGUAAUUUUCAUUUAAAUUGUUAGGAGGC